AAUAAAUUAAAAAAAAUACUUUAAAAAGUACAAUAAUACAUGAAUCAUUCAGAUAAUCAAACGAACAAUAAUAAUUAUAAUUAGUCCGUUGAUGUUACUGAUUGAAUUCGACCUUUGCAAAUAUGUUAUGAAGUUUAUGUUCCUUGACUUUGUCCAGUCCAGACUCGAUUAUGUGAAGGCCUCGGAAAAAAAUUCACUUCGGAUAAUCGAAUCACAAAAAAAAAUCCGUUGUCUUAUUUUUGAUUGGCCCAUAAACUACUUUGAAAUGAUUUAAAAUUUUAAAUCCAAGAUGGCGUCCAAAAUGGCGGCUAUGAAAUUUGGAAAAAAAAUGCUUUUUUCAAUUUAAUAGGCAGUCAACCUGUCAAAUUUGGCUAAAAUGGGGUCGCGGAAUUCGAAUUUGAUGUUAAAGUAAGAAAAUAAAAAAAAUAGGUUUUUUUUGUUCAUGAUUCGAUUAUUCGAAGUCCCAUACAAACCUUCAGAUAAUAGAACUUCGGAUAAUCGAUGCUAAAUAUGAUUAUCAACGCAGAAAAAAUGUACAUUUGAUUGUUUUUAGUUGAUUAGACUUCUAUUUCCACUAAAAUUUGAAAAUUCUCUGAUUUGUCGUGUCGAUUUUGAAAGACGACAUAGGGUAUAUGGCCCUAUUUUGGACCUACUAUGCAAAGCGUCAACACAUUUCGCAUGGUUUUCAGGAACGGUUUAACUAAUUUGGCUCGUUUCAGGAUUAUUUUGUGCCUUAAUUUAUGCUUAACAAAGUGUACUAUUGAAAAUUGAAAAUAAUUUAACCAUUUCAUUAUAAUAAGCAUUUCAAGUAAAACAUUUUUUGGAUGCUUUUUGGACUUAUUGAAUGUAUUUUGGAGACAUCGCUGAACCUAUUUUGGACCCACACUCUGAUUGGUUGAAAUUUGGACAACUAGAAUUGCGGCGUGCGGCGGCAACACGCACACUUACAAAAAACUCGGUUUGAUAAACCAAAGGGUCUAUCCACGAUUAUAAUUUGGAAAAUAUUUAUUUCAGAAAUUAAAUAAUUAUGAUAAAACAAUGGAUUUGAAUUUGAAAACGUGUUUUAAUUAUAUUGAAUGGAAACUCACGCAUCUUUAGCAGCCUGAACUACCUCGAUUAAUAAAAAUAGGUCCAAAAUAGGUACUAGGUCCAAAAUAGGGUCAUAUACCCUAUGUUUCGAAAAUUAUUUGCAACGGUUGAAAUGCAAAAAAUAAAUAAAUAUAUAAACUCUGUUGAACCUUGUUAAAUAAAAGAUAGUUAAUCAUUAAAUUGUAUUUUUGUGGCAGAUAAAUAAAUAAAAAAAUUAUAUGGCUUUCUCAACUCUA